CACAGGCUCUGGCGGGUCAUGCUGGAGACGACCAGCCGCCCGCGCCGCGCGGGGGCGCUACACCUGGAAGCAGAGGGAACCGUGUCCGAGGACUGAGCAGACGAGGAAUUAUCAAAUGUGCCUUCAACUGCAAACUGCCCCUUUUCCCCAGACGGUAGGAUGAGGUUCUGAAAGGAGAAGCGACUUGCCCACAGCCAUGCGGCUACAAGCUGUGGAAGCAGGAAUACAGCCCAGGGUGAGUGGCUCUGCCAGUCCUGAGUUCCAGUCUCAUCAAGCCUUGUCUUCAAAGUCUGUCAAGUGAGGAAACUGAGGCCUCGACAGGGGAAGGUAUAGUUACCUGCCAGUCUCCCCACCACCAUCGCAAGCAGAGUUUGCAAAGGGGCCUGCCUGGGGCAUAGUACAAGCCUUUCUCCCCAUUGCCGGUGUUCCCCUCCAGUCCCUUUUCUGCAGCAGCUGGGCCAUGCCGAGGAUCAUGCCAAAGAGCGUCAACCAGGAAGGCGUCUUCUUUCUUGAAAUACGUUGUACAUCAGCAGACAGGCCCCUCAAGACCCCAGCAAUGCAGCGUGCUCAGAGCCCAGCACACAGUAACCCAGAAACACAUGUGAUGGAAUCAGGAGGAUAGAUAAACCAGUUAUCACUUCACCAGUCCAAUUCAACAAAUGUUUAUUGAGCACCUACUAUAUACCUGGCUUUGUGAUGGACCCUGGCGAUACAACAAAUAAUAAUAUCAAUUCGUGUCCUAUAGGAAAACAGACUUAUCAGAGGAUCACUUUAUAAAUUAUGUGUAAAUGUAUA